rnacentral:rRNA from 1 species
UGAGGAAUAUUGCGCAAUGGAGGAAACUCUGACGCAGCAACGCCGCGUGGGGGAUGAAGCUCUAUGGAGUGUAAACCCCUGUAAGCAGGGACGAAAGGUAUCUAUUCGAAAGGGUAGGUACGUGACGGUACCUGCAGAGUAAGCUCCGGCUAACUCCGUGCCAGCAGCCGCGGUAAUACGGGGGGAGCGAGCGUUGUCCGGAAUUACUGGGCGUAAAGGGCGUGUAGGCGGUCUAAUAAGUCAGAUGUUAAAGGUCCCGGCUUAACCGGGGAAGGUCAUUUGAAACUGUUAGGCUGGAGUGCGAGAGAGGGUAGCGGAAUUCCCAGUGUAGCGGUGAAAUGCGUAGAUAUUGGGAAGAACACCAGUAGCGCAGGCGGCUACCUGGCUCGUAACUGACGCUGAGGCGCGAAAGCGUGGGGAGCAAACAGGAUUAGAUACCCUGGUAGUCCACGCUGUAAACGAUGAGCACUAGGUGUUGGUUGGCCGUAGGCUGAUCAGUGCCGCAGUUAACACAUUAAGUGCUCCGCCUGGGGAGUACGAUCGCAAGGUUG